GAGAGCAGAUCCCGUAGCAGAGGGUGAAGAGAGGAAUUAUUCCACGCGUUUUUAGUAAGCCACUUGAUCACAGUAAGAGAAUCUCCCUCCACCCAAAGCUCCGUAAUCCCCGUCCCAUAGAUGACCACCCUAACGCCCAUCCAGGCUGCAACCAUUUCAGCAGAAGGGAUUGACGAAGGUGGCAAAAUCUUGCCUCCAGCUCUCAGCAAACACCCCUGAUGAUACCUAUUAAGGAAAGCACCAGCUGCACCAUUGUCAGUCACCGAUGCAUCAAAGUUCAGCUUGAGAACUCUCGCUGGAGGAGGAAGCCAUCACACCAGUUUCAGUAGAGUUGAAUUCAUAGCUCCCCAGAUCAGUGGGCAGUUCACCAGCUGCAUUGAGUGAUGUGACGAAGAGUAAGAAGGAAUGAUACAUGCUACUCUCCUAAUUACUUGUGAAGCAGCUGCAAUUUUUUGCGGAAAUACCCUGUCAUUACGAGCUCUCCAGAUGGACCAAGCUGUACAACCCUUGAGAUGCAUUAACCGCUUCUCCACCUGGGAACUGAAGACCAUCUGCUCCAGCAAAGAAUUUAGUUCAAAGGACAUCCUAGACAUGGU
rnacentral:lncRNA from 1 species